CACCUGGAAGGACUUGAUGAACGUCCACAGGAGGGUUCGCACUCCUUCUGCCCGGCUCAGCAGCUUGAUCAGCCUCAUGACACGGAACAGGCGGAAGAAGGCGCUGGAGAUGCGGGCACUCUCAUCUGGGUCCUGCGGGGCAGCAGCCCCAGAGGGCCUCCACCCAGGCAAUACAGUCCCCCGCUGGAGGCCAGGAAAGUCUGUG
rnacentral:lncRNA from 1 species